UCACAGCGUUGGGAUACGUGACAGUCAGGCAGGUAUGUGGUCUCACAGCGUUGAGGUACGUGACAGUUCAGGUAUGUGGUCUCACAGCGUUGGGAGUACGUGACAGUCAGGGUAUGUGGUCUCACAGCGUUGAGGUACGUGACAGUCAGGGUAUGUGGUCUCACAGCGUUGAGGGUACGUGGACAGUCAGGUAGUGGUCUCACAGCUGUUGAGGUACGUGACAGUCAGGGUAUGUGGUCUCACAGGUUGAGGUAGCGACAGUCAGGAUAUGUGGUCUCACAGCGUUGAGUACGUGACAGUCAGGGUAUGUGGUCUCACAGCGUUGAGGUAGUGACAGUCAGGAUAUGUGGUUUCAAGCGUUGGGUACGUUGACAGUCAGGAUUGUGGUUCUCACAGCUUGGGUACGUUGACAGUCAGGUAUGUGGGUCUCACCAGCGUUGAGGUACGUGACAGUCAGGAUAUUG
rnacentral:lncRNA from 1 species